rnacentral:rRNA from 1 species
CGAACGCUGGCGGCGUGCUUAACACAUGCAAGUCGAACGCGAAAGGGACUUCGGUCCUGAGUAAAGUGGCGCACGGGUGAGUAACGCGUAGAUAACCUGUCUUCAUGUCUGGAAUAAUACGCCAAAGGGGUACUAAUACCGGAUAUUCUUGCUUUUCAUAAGUUAUGCAAGCAAAGGUGGCCUCUGCAUAUGCUACUGCAUGAAGAGGGGUCUGCGUACCAUUAGCUAGUAGGUGGGGUAAUGGCCUACCUAGGCGACGAUGGUUAGCGGGUCUGAGAGGAUGAUCCGCCACACUGGCACUGGAACACGGGCCAGACUCCUACGGGAGGCAGCAGUGAGGAAUAUUGCGCAAUGGGGGAAACCCUGACGCAGCGACGCCGCGUGAGUGAGGAAGGCCUUCGGGUCGUAAAGCUCUGUCAAGAGGAAAGAAGUGUACAAUGGCUAAUACCUGUUGUAUUUGACGGUACCUCUAAAGGAAGCACCGGCUAACUCCGUGCCAGCCGCGGC